UACGUAGGGGCCAAGCGUUGUCCGGAUUUAUUGGGCGUAAAGAGCUCGUAGGCGGUUCGGCAAGUCAGCUGUGAAAUCUCCACGCUCAACGUGGAGGGGUCAGCUGAUACUGCUGUGACUCGAGUCCGGUAGGGGAGUGUAGGAAUUCCCGGGUGUAGCGGUGAAAUGCGCAGAUAUUGGGAGGAACGACCGGUGGCGAAGGCGGCUAUCUGGCCAUGUACUGACGCUGAGACACGAAAGCGUGGGGAGCAAACAGGG
rnacentral:rRNA from 1 species